GCACUACCGACCAGUCCCAAACAGGACGAAACAGCUGUCCAGUGC
rnacentral:hammerhead_ribozyme from 1 species